rnacentral:misc_RNA from 1 species
AAAUUAAGCAUGCAUGAUUUUUCAGUAACAAUCAGUACGAGUAGAAUCCGGGACUGUAAUUGGGUUCAAUGGCUGAAGCUGCGCUUCCUAGUUCCUUAUUUUUACUCUCUGACUUCCUCCACUUAAUUUUCCUCUGCCAUUGAUUAGCCAGAAUCACACCUAUAACAGUAAAGGUUAUUCCCACUGUGCCACUGCAGAGUACAAUUACCAACACAGACAUAAUCCAUUCUGUGCCUUGACCAUGCGGCAUAAUCACCCAUGUUGCUGCUAGAUAACUUGUUACCAUAAACGACACUGCUACCCACAUCACUCUGUCAGCCAUCUUUAGCAUUCUCAUCAGUGGCUUUCUUCGAAAGGGAAUGAUCCUGACUAGUAUAAAGACCACUGAAAGAGAUGUGCACAAUGCAAUAGUGUUACUUAUUUCAAAAACCUUGAAAGCUGUUGUUUUGGCUACCAUUGAUUUUCCUUUCAGAGGUCCAUCCUGGUAGACACCACCUGGAGGACUUAUCCCAGCUGAAAAACUUACUGUUGCAAUCAAAACUGCAACUACUAUAAUGGUGUUCCUAGCAUUUUGUAAUGCCUCCACCUGCAUCGUUUGCAGGUGAGAACUAGUCUUUCUAUCUAAUUUCUG